rnacentral:rRNA from 1 species
GCCUGAUGCAGCCAUGCCGCGUGUGUGAAGAAGGCCUUCGGGUUGUAAAGCACUUUCAGUCGUGAGGAAGGUGGUGACGUUAAUAGCGUUGUCGUUUGACGUUAGCGACAGAAGAAGCACCGGCUAACUCCGUGCCAGCAGCCGCGGUAAUACGGAGGGUGCGAGCGUUAAUCGGAAUUACUGGGCGUAAAGCGCAUGCAGGUGGUUUGUUAAGUCAGAUGUGAAAGCCCGGGGCUCAACCUCGGAAUAGCAUUUGAAACUGGCAGACUAGAGUACUGUAGAGGGGGGUAGAAUUUCAGGUGUAGCGGUGAAAUGCGUAGAGAUCUGAAGGAAUACCGGUGGCGAAGGCGGCCCCCUGGACAGAUACUGACACUCAGAUGCGAAAGCGUGGGGAGCAAACAGGAUUAGAUACCCUGGUAGUCCACGCCGUAAACGAUGUCUACUUGGAGGUUGUGGCCUUGAGCCGUGGCUUUCGGAGCUAACGCGUUAAGUAGACCGCCUGGGGAGUACGGUCGCAAGAUUAAAACUCACAUGAAUUGACGGGGGCCCGCACAAGCGGUGGAGCAUGUGGUUUAAUUCGAUGCAACGCGAAGAACCUUACCUACUCUUGACAUCCAGAGAACUUUCCAGAGAUGGAUUGGUGCCUUCGGGAACUCUGAGACAGGUGCUGCAUGGCUGUCUCAGCUCGUGUUGUGAAUGUUGGGUUAAGUCCCGCAACGAGCGCACCCUUAUCCUUGUUUGCCGCGAGUAAUGUCGGGAACUCCAGGGAGACUGCCGGUGAUAACCGGAGGAAGUGGGGACGACGUCAAGUCAUCAUGGCCCUUACGAGUAGGCUACACACGUGCUACAAUGGCGCAUACAGAGGGCGGCCACUUGCGAAGUGAGCGAAUCCCAAAAAGUGCGUCGUAUCCGGAUGGAGUCUGCACUCGACUCCUGAAUCGGAUCGCUAGUAAUCGUGGAUCAGAUGCACGUGAAUACGUUCCGGGCUUGUACACACCGCCCGUCAACAUGGGAGUGGCUGCA